AACGCACCUUGCGCUCCUUGGUAUUCCGAGGAGCAUGCCUGUUUGAGUGUCUUGAAGUCAUCAACCCCUUCCGUUUCGUGCGGGAAGGGUUGGACGUGGGGGCUCUGCUGCCGCGAGGCGGCUCCCCUCAAAUGCAUCGGUUGGGCCUGUGGGUCGAACUCGACUGGGCGUUGUACCAUCCUCGCUCGACAGAGACGUUCCCCUUCCGCGCCCUCCCCCGACCUGCCUAUCAGAGCGGCGGUCAAGCAACAAACUUUGAAAUCUGACCUCAAAUCAGGUAGGACUACCCGCUGAACUUAAGCAUAUCAAUAAGCGGAGGACGAUCUCAAGAGCUCGUGUGAAUCAUCGAGUCUUUGAACGCACAUUGCGCCCCGUGGUAUUCCGCGGGGCAUGCCUGUUCGAGCGUCAUUACACCACUCAAGCCUCGCUUGGUAUUGGGCGACGCGGUUAGCCGCGCGCCUCAAAUCUUCCGGCUGGUUCGAAUCGUCCCUCAGCGUUGUGGAAACUAUUCGCUAAAGGUGCUCGUUUCGGUCACGCCGUUAAACAAACCAAUUCAUUAAAGGUUGACCUCGGAUCAGGUAGGGAUACCCGCUGAACUUAA
rnacentral:misc_RNA from 1 species